rnacentral:rRNA from 1 species
UACGAAGGGGGCUAGCGUUGCUCGGAAUCACUGGGCGUAAAGGGUGCGUAGGCGGGUUUUUAAGUCAGGGGUGAAAUCCUGGAGCUCAACUCCAGAACUGCCUUUGAUACUGAAGAUCUUGAGUCCGGGAGAGGUGAGUGGAACUGCGAGUGUAGAGGUGAAAUUCGUAGAUAUUCGCAAGAACACCAGUGGCGAAGGCGGCUCACUGGCCCGGUACUGACGCUGAGGUGGCGAAAGCGUGGGGAGCAAACAGG